AUGGUUUUAUUGAAGAUAACUUAAUAUUUUCAUAUUGUUUAUUUGUUUUUCAGAUUCACACCAAGAAGAGGAAUCGGUUAGAGCAUCAACGUUUAAAUGAUCUUGUCUACAUCCAGUAUAAUCGCCGUCUUCAAGUAAGGUUCCAAGAAAGAAAGGAACAAAGCAGAAAUUAUGAUCCACUGGAGCUUGAUGAGCUAGAUUGGAGUAGUGAGUGGAUGACUGGGGCUUCAGAUGAUGAAUUAGU